rnacentral:rRNA from 1 species
ACGCACGCUGGCGGCGUGCUUCACCCCUGCAAGUCGAACGGAAAGGCCCUGCUUUUGUGGGGUGCUCGAGUGGCGAACGGGUGAGUAACACGUGAGUAACCUGCCCUUGACUUUGGGAUAACUUCAGGAAACUGGGGCUAAUACCGGAUAGGAGCUCCUGCUGCAUGGUGGGGGUUGGAAAGUUUCGGCGGUUGGGGAUGGACUCGCGGCUUAUCAGCUUGUUGGUGGGGUAGUGGCUUACCAAGGCUUUGACGGGUAGCCGGCCUGAGAGGGUGACCGGCCACAUUGGGACUGGGAUACGGCCCAGACUCCUACGGGAGGCAGCAGUGGGGAAUAUUGCACAAUGGGCGGAAGCCUGAUGCAGCAACGCCGCGUGCGGGAUGACGGCCUUCGGGUUGUAAACCGCUUUCGCCUGUGACGAAGCGUGAGUGACGGUAAUGGGUAAAGAAGCACCGGCUAACUACGUG